CCUUCGGGACAAGGAGGACAGGUGGUGCAUGGUUGUCGUCAGCUCGUGUCGUGAGAUGUGGUUAAGUCCCGCAACGAGCGCAACCCUCGACCUUAGUUGCCAGCAUUCAGUUGGGCACUCUAGCGAGACUGCCGGUAAUAAACCGGAGGAAGGUGGGGAUGACGUCAAAUCAUCAUGCCCCUUAUGACCUGGGCUACACACGUGCUACAAUGGUUGGUACAACGAGUUGCGAGUCGGUGACGGCGAGCUAAUCUCUUAAAGCCAAUCUCAGUUCGGAUUGUAGGCUGCAACUCGCCUACAUGAAGUCGGAAUCGCUAGUAAUCGCGGAUCAGCACGCCGCGGUGAAUACGUUCCCGGGCCUU
rnacentral:rRNA from 1 species